rnacentral:rRNA from 1 species
AGUGAACGCUGGCGGUAGGCCUAACACAUGCAAGUCGAACGGCAGCACAGUAAGAGCUUGCUCCUACGGGUGGCGAGUGGCGGACGGGUGAGGAAUACAUCGGAAUCUACUUUUUCGUGGGGGAUAACGUAGGGAAACUUACGCUAAUACCGCAUACGACCUACGGGUGAAAGCAGGGGAUCUUCGGACUUUGCGCGAUUGAAUGAGCCGAUGUCGGAUUAGCUAGUUGGCGGGGUAAAGGCCCACCAAGGCGACGAUCCGUAGCUGGUCUGAGAGGAUGAUCAGCCACACUGGAACUGAGACACGGUCCAGACUCCUACGGGAGGCAGCAGUGGGGAAUAUUGGACAAUGGGCGCAAGCCUGAUCCAGCCAUACCGCGUGGGUGAAGAAGGCCUUCGGGUUGUAAAACCCUUUUGUUGGGGAAGAAAAGCAGCAGGUUAAUACCCCGCUGUUCUGACGGUACCCAAAGAAUAAGCACCGGCUAACUUCGUG